rnacentral:ncRNA from 1 species
AGUGCCCCUAUGGUGUCAUUCCAGUGCUUGACACUGGAAUCCAGCCCUUCCAUAAUCAUCAAAACAUUGUAUUUUAACGUAAAACAGCUAUUUUUAUGCUCACCAACUUAAUAAAAUUCCUGGAUCCCAGUGUCAAGCACUGGGAUGACAAGAUAUAAACCUU